UAUUCUAACAGGAGGGAUGACAGCCUCUGUUGAGACACCAGUGGAACCACAGGAGGACACAGUUCUGUCUGCGCAGGGCCAGACCAGACAGGCACCCAGCGUCCAGAGGAGGGCAGUCUGGACUGUGAGAUGGGACAGUGCGGGGGACUUCUGGAGGGCUGGUAAUGCUCCAGUUCCUGAUUGGGUGUUGGUUAUAUGGAGUCACUUUGUGAAAAGUGACUUUUCUUUUCUUGCACUUUUCUGUAUAUGGUAUUCUUCAAUGUUUACUAAAAAAAAAUAGGACCUUUUCAGAAAGGUGUCCUCUUUAACACACCUGCCAGCGAGCUUAUUGCCACGGCUGCCCUCCUCCCUGCUCCCUUCUCCUCGGCGAAGGCACCUCCUUUGCCCAGCGAGGAGCUCCAGAUCCGCUGGCCUCAGAACUGCCCGCACGGCCCAUCCCCCGCCGGCUGAGCCGGGAGCCGCCUGUCCCUCUACCGCCUCCCCCAGUCUGCGCUGAGGGGUUUGGGGUCUCCCCGUCUGCCCCCCACCCCGUCUUUCCCUCCUCCAGCGUCUGGCACACGUCGCCCUGUCCUGCAGGAGCACCGAGGGCUCUGGAGGCCCUUCUUGGUCGUUCUGUGACCCAUCUCGGCACAGCUCCUGGCAUGCCCGGGGCACCUCCUCUGUCACAGUGCGGGCCACACAGCAUGGGCUCGGAAAAGCCCCGCCGCCGCCCGCCAUCCGGGAGACGCUGGUCCUCACUCACCUCUCGGGCUUUGCUCCGAGUUCGCAGCACGUGUCCCGCCCCAACUUCCCUCAGGCUUCACAGCACGACUCCCAGGCGCUGGUCCCUCUGCUGGGCUGCACCCGUGGCCACGGCCUGUCGCGUGUUCUGUGUCCCCUCUUGGCAACUCCCUGCGAGUGGCCAGGCUGCCUGGGGACAGCGGGGCCGGGGAGGCCUGGGGACUGGAUGGCGAGACAGCCCACAGGCGGGAACGGACGGGACACGCCUGGUGACGUCUCCCGAGAAACCCCAAACCCCAGUCCACCUGGAGGUGGCCCUUGCUGGCUGUCACGGUGUCCGCGUCACCCCCCCUCCCCACCACCCCAGAGCUCUGCCUGGGUGUCUACUGCGUGCCCGUGUGCCUUGAAGAAGACGACGCGGUCCCAGCCUACGGGUCAGCCCAGACCCGCGGCCACAGGCAGACGCGCAGAGAUGAUGGAACUCGCGGCCCGGCCAGGGCUCUGUUGAGAAGCCUCGCGGGGAGCCCUCCACUCCCCUGGGGACCGAGCCAUCCUGCAGACAGCAGGGCCUGAGGGACGGGCCCUAGGGCUUCCUUGGUGCCUGCCCUCCUGCACGGCUGCUUCCACGGACAGAACGUCCCUUCCUCUCCGCCGCCAGCUGGAGAGCAGCUUCGCAUGGCCCACGGUAUCAGAACAACAUACUAACCUAUUGGUACCCCUUAAACAGCACACAGAUGACAGUGGUACUUGUCGCAUCACAGAGUUCUGAUGGAGGGACACCUACACGCUGCUGACCCGUGAGGAUGAGAAGGGCGCAGAGCACUGGACGGGGCUCCUACCCCCUCCCUGGAUGACUGAAUGCCGCCCGGAAGGAUGGGGAAGGAUGCAGUACAGCGCAGGCUGGCCUGGCUCGGGGAGCAUCACCCCUGGCCUGCCCAUCCCGCCACUUCUCCGCCGUUGCCCCGACCGCACCCAGCCACGCAGACCCCGCGACACCGUCGGAAUGCUUUGGGUUUCAUCAGAGCUCUUCCUUCAGGACUCGGCUCAAAUGUUUGCCUCCAAGAAGCCACUUCUGAUGCUUCCCAGGAGCCUGAGCCAGGGCCCUCCCCGCCUCCGGUCACCCUGCACCUUUUCCACAGCCCCAAUAAACACCGCUCACUGGACUCAGUUCCGGGGUUGAUUCCUAUUUGUUUCCCUAGAGCCUAGCCCAGGGCCUGGACCGUAAUAAGCUUAUCAAUAAAUGUUCCAUGGACGAGUUCCAGUGUGACCCGCAGAUCCCUUCCAAAAAGUGUGCCUUCACGUGCCAUGUGAUUGUGUUUAAAAAAGUUUUGUUGGUCACAGUAGUCUGAUGCCAUAGAAAUGUUUGUUGCCAGUGUUAUAAAUGUGACCUCGCUGUAGCUAUCAACUCUAUACCUGUUCCCUUUUAAUGCAAGGUUUCACUUAUUAUUAAGAGAAGUGUUCGUCAACAUUCAUUAUUCUGACAUUUGCAAAAUCAACGGUAACUAAUCGCCAUUGGAAUCACAGAAGGAGAGCGUUUUCAUUAGAUACUUAGAGCUUUUAAAUAUUCUUAUAUGAAAUAAAAAAAUAAAGGCCACUAAAAUGAAAGACUGAAAAAGGCCUUCCAGCCUGCAAGACAGAAAUAGGGGGCCUAUCAUCAAAAAAUCUACAAACAAUAAAUGCUGGAGAGGGUGUGGAGAAAAGGGAACUCUCUUGCA